GCGGAGAGAGCAAACCGGGACCUGGAAGCCACUCUAUGAUGUGUCACUGCCACUAACCCCACCUCCUGGAGCUCCCAUUUAGCCUGGAUUGAAAGAAGACAUUGCCAUCCCUUCUGUCCAGACGCACCUCCACCGUUGCUGUAAGCUGUGGAAAGAGACUUGCCCUGCUCUGCUUCGAUCAGCCAACGCAAACAAGCAUAUUGCCGACCAUCACCGGACUCCUGCACCAACAUAUCAACCAGGAAAACAAGAGACGGACUCCCUGGAUUCCUAAGUUGGUAAGAGCAGACCCUCGGCCUGCAGAACUGACCUUUGUAACCCUCUAAGUGGGGUUGAUCAGUGAUGCUCAACAGACUCAGAAAGACCUUUCAAGAAGCCAUUUCGAUAAGUUGAAUUAUGACACAAACUAAAAGCACGAAUUGACCCUAAAGGCCACUUGGACCAGAGAAAAAAACUCCCACCUUAGAUGGAGCACAGACUCUUAUCACCAAAGCCAUAAAACUAACCCACAUUCCUGAGGACUUUGUGAAGCCUUGUCUAAUCAUUAUGCAACCUAUAUCAUGUUAUUUGUCAUGUAAAUACAAGAAGAAUGCUAUAACUUUCAUAGGUGUAUGACUAUCUACUAACGAGAUGUAAGACUUAGAUUUUAUUAACCAUUUAUACUACAAGUAACAAUACUAGUAACUACCCUCUAUUGACAAGAGUUAAAUUCCCUUAUGUGAAGAGUUAAUGAAUGUUUGAUAACCGUGUAUUUGUAUUUUAAAAUCACCCAAGUGUUUAACUUAUGAUCUAUUAACCUCAAAGACAAUCAUAUUUUAAUAGUUAAAUGAGACAAGUAGUUGUGUUGAAAGAAUGAAGUUCUGUAGUAGUAAUAGGACUGUAAAGAUAUCAUUAUAUCUUUGAAGGAUUUGAGUUUAAAGUUUUCUUUUAUUGUUCGCUCUUUUAUUGUCAAAUAGUCACAUUGAAUGCUUUUAUAUUAUGAAGUAAAAGUUAUGUUCAAUUUAUAUUUAAAUAUUUCUCUGAAAGUAAUCUA